rnacentral:misc_RNA from 1 species
UGGAUAUUUUGCAGGUUGUCCUCAUCCUGUAGAAAAUAUCAAUGAUGGCGGCUGGCGCGGCUGCGGCCCUGUUAGAUGAAUUGAUGGGACGAGAUCGGAAUCUCGCCCCGUCAGAACAGAGAAGUGAGACACAUUGGAGUGAUCCCGAGGUAUGCAAGUAUUUUUUGUGUGGAUUUUGCCCACAUGAGCUGUUUGUCAACACCCGCGCAGAUUUGGGUCCCUGUGAUAAGAUUCAUGAUGAUCUUUUGCGCAAAGAAUAUGUGAAGAGUUCACGGUUUGAGAGGAUGGGUUAUGAGGAUGAUUUCAUGCGGUUCUUACAAGGUCUCAUAUCUGAUGUGGAGAAGCGAAUACGCAGAGGACAUAUGCGUCUUGCAUUGAACAGCACACAGGGAUCUCUUAAUGGUAACUUGCCUUCUCAGAAAGAAGAAAAAAUAACGAUGCUUACAGAGAAAAUUAAUGAACUUGUCAAUCAGGCUGAACAGCUGGGCUGUGAGGGGAAGGUGGAAGAGGCACAAGGGGUGAUGAAACUCUGUGAUCAGCUCAGAGAAGAAAGAAGACAGUUAGAAAAUAACGAGACGGGUGCGUAUUACACUGAUCCUGAGAAGACCCUGGAAGUGUGUGGAUGUUGCUCUGCUUUGUUAGUUGUUGGGGAUGCCCAGCAGCGCAUCGAUGAACACUUAAUGGGGAAACAACAUAUGGGGUAUGCCAGAAUCCGUGCCUUUUUAGAAGAACACAAACAGAAAAAAAUACAAGCAGACGUGGAUGAAAGAGAAGCCAAAGAAGCUAAACUGGCACAGGAACGAGAAGAAAGAGAAAAAGAGAGGGAAAAAGAAAGAGAAGAUAGACGUAAGAAAGAAAAAGAGAAAGAAGAUGAAAAAAAGAGGGAGAGGGAAAAGGAACGAGAAAAAAGGAGGAAACGUAGCAGAUCUCGUAGUAGACGAUCACGAAGUAGAGACAGGAGAUCACGUAGCCGUGACCGAAGGAGAAGCUCAAGUCGAGACAGAAAACGAAGAUCUCGCAGUCGUAGCCGACAUCGUACAGGUCUCGAAGUCGAGACCGUCAUAAGUCUAGCCGGCACCGGUCAAGAUCAAGAAGUAGAGGUCGCAGGUCAAGAAGCAGAGAUCGAAGAUCAAGGAGUAGAGGACGCAGAUCACGUAGCAGGGAUCGAAGGUCACGUAGCAGAGGAAAAAGUCGACGGUCACGAAGUAGAGAUAGACGUUCUCGCAGUAGAGACAAGAGCUCAAGGAAACGCUCAAGAAGCCGAGACAAAAACCGUAAGAGUAGAGAAAAAGGGAAGAAGAGUGAAGAGAAGGAUUACAACGGGAGGCAGUCCACAGAGAAAGACAAGGAGGAAGUGGGGGAGAAGGUAAUCGAAAAAGACACUAACACCAAGAUCAGUGAAACCAAAACACCGAGUGAAAAUGACAAGACAGAGGAGAUGCACAUGGAGCAGGAGACAAAAGCACCAGCAGCCAAUGAAUCAGAAGGUGACUCAAAAUAUGAUGCUUGAGGUACCUUGAAGACAUUACAGGUAAGUGAAAACAAUGACGGCACACCUUGCUGCUGUUAGUGUAAACGCCUUUCACUUUCCAGCUCAACAGGUGAGUGAACAUUUAACAUAACCUCUCCUUCUAUGGAGCCUGCUGAAAUUUGUACUGUUAAAGAGGAUCUUUUGAUUCAUUAGUAUGGAACUAUUUGAUAUUCUGUCAUUUGGGAAAAUACUGAAGAUGGUCAUUUUAGCAGGUUUCAUUUGAGGUGAUAUCUUGUGUGCAUAUGCCUUCACUUCAGAAACUGUAUUAUUUAUUUCUUACAUUAUCUAGUUUGAAUAUGCAUAUCGAAUGUGUGAGGCUGCUAACAUAAGAUUUUACCUCAAGAAUAAGACGGAGAGCUUGUGAAUGUAAAACACAAAAGAUAUUUUCUGGUUUGUAUGAAAUAUUUCCUAUUUUUUCUUCCUUCCAGUAAUGGUAGUGGUUGGAUGGCAUAAAGCAGGUAUCUCUGUUAUUUAAUAAAUUUUGACUAUGUUUGUAGGGCAAUGGUAUACAUAAUAUCCUGCUUUUCUUCCAACCAUUCUUUUCAUCAACCAGAAAAUAUUUGAUGUUGAUUUCUUUGAAAUCCAAUAUUUUUUAUGAAAAUAAAACUCACAAUCUCUUCAGUUAUUAAAAAUAUUCUAAAUUGGAAAGACUUUUUUUUAUCAAUUAAAUUUUAUUUCUAAUAAUGUAAGUUGUUGAAGUAUUUUGAAAUGUAAUUCGCAUGAAGUAGACAAAGUUUGCUUUAAUGGAACACCUAAGAUGGAGCACCUGCUACUCUUGUAGCAUCAACUAUGUAGUGUUAAUGCCUCUCUCGCCCCAAGUGAUGCCACUAGCAUAAGACGAUGUAGCGAGAGCCUGUCAGAUGAAGGAACCACAUCACCGCUGUUCAUUUCACAAUUACGGAAUAACAAAGUUAUAUCUCACCAGGUAUUUCAUGUGGUGACAGAUCAAUAUUUAGAGCAAUUUGCCUUUGAUAACAACUUGUGACACUUUGUGGUGGUUCUCAGAGCUAAAUUUGAAAAAAAGCAAAGUUGUUAUCAUAGGCAAUAAUGUCAAUGCAUGUUCCUGUUUUGAGUUGAAGUAUUGGGUAAUGCAUUCCACAUUUUGUAGUCACUGCUAUCAAUGUUUCACUCCGGGAAGGGGUCAUUUCAUAAUAUGGAGGUCGAGAAAGCAAGCAAACAGUUUUCUGUGCAGUGCCAAUAUUUAUAUUUUUUGCAAUAAAUCACAAUCAUGCUAAACUACAGAAAAAGGUUUCUAAUUAGAAUAAAAUUUAAUGUUUAUUCUACAGUAUUUUUUUCCUUUUGGCAGUGAAGUAAUUAAAGUAAUGUAUUAUUUCUUACCUUAAGACUCAAAACAUGUUUUGCCUUCACAGAUCUCUGUUCUAAGAAUAUUAUGUAUUUGGCCCAUUAAAAAUAGGCUUAAAAUGAUAAUUUAUCAUAGUACCCUUGAUCCAUUUCAAAUUUAGGAAUUCAAAAUUCUACAGCAAUAUGUGGCUAGGUUGACAUAAGGGAGCCUAAAAUACCAAGUAAUGUGUGACUGGUUUAAAUAUAAGGUUUCUGUUGCACUCAAGCCAAGAUGGGAGAAAUGAGGAGAGUCUGUGCUCAUCCUCCAUGAGAAUAGCCAUGGGACAUCGGAGCUGCGCUUUCAUCUCUCGUCUUAUUACGUUCAGAGAGCUUGCUCCAAGGUGCCUGCGGAGGACAAAGUAUUUCCAGAAUUGCGGAACAACCGAAAACAGAAAGAUUGUACUGGUUACAUCUGUUUACAACUUAAAUUUGGAUUAUAUGUAAUUGGGAUUUCAAAGGUUAGAUCUUUUCUGUCGAUAAGUAGAUUGUCCUCGUCUCCAUAAUUCAUUUUAUUGCCAUUUUUUUCCACUGUAGAGAUUCAUUUCUUGUACAUUUUGUAAGUUUUUAAACUUAAAGCCCACCAUUGCAGGUUCUGGAUCAGGCUACUGCAUAAAGGAUAUAUUGUUUGCUGUCCAUAAAUAAAUUUGCUGAAGUAUGA